rnacentral:lncRNA from 1 species
GACUUCAUUCAUCCAAAUCAAGUUGCUCCAAACCACAGGAGCAUGCGUUUGCUAAAUUUAUUGAAACGCACAUGAACUCUACUUGAUUUGGAAGGGAUAUGGUGAAUUAUGCCUUUGUGUGUUCAUUCCGGAUUUACAUGGACUCUUGAUGGAUCAAGAGAUGCCAAUAUGUAUCAACAUCCGAAGAAAAAGAUCUUGGGAAGACACAGUCUCGAUAAGGCACUCGAUGACUGUAUUGAUGAUCAAUCGGCUUAGGCGCUCUAUAACUAGUGAGGCCUACAUAUACUCUCAUGAUUAGUCAAGGUCUUUGCUCUAAAGAGAGAUCCGUUGUUUUGUCUAAAGCAAGAUGACAAAUAUGUGUUAAGAGAUGGAGUUCCCAUCUAAGUUCAAAAAGACGCAUCAAUGUACUCAACACAAUACAAAAGACUUGACAUCUCAUUCGCUAUGAAAAGUUGUAAAGCUAAGUGUAGCUAUGCGCCCACGCAACGCCAAUGUAAUGGCAGUAACUCCUUUUUCAAUACUUAAUGGUAUGAAAGGUUGAGGCUUAUUCUAUCCCUACAUAAGAAAGACACAUCAAAAGCGAAAUCAGAAUCUGUCAAGUUUUGUAGGUCAACUUCCACGAGACCUAUAGGAAAUCUCACUCACUGGAAAAUGGUGAAAUUGGUACCAUUGGAAAGGUCUAUGUGUCUACUUUCCAGGGACACCAACCAUUUGAUCAUACCUAUCAUAUUGAGUGAGUUAUGGCCGUUUUCGUAAAGUAGGACGAAUCUGUCCGAGAAUCUGAUUUUAGCAAAACAGUCAACUUCGACGGAAUGUUGUGAAUAGCUCCUGAGGAACCAGAACGUGUGUAAUAUACGGUUGGAAAGCUAAAUGAGUCUAGUUUCCAAAAACGUUUACGGUUUGUUCAUAUGUAUUUCCUAGAGAAAGUUACGACUGUUCUAGUAAUUGAAGGUCAUGCUGCGCGGAAAUCUGAUUUCCUGCACGAACUUAUGUUUUGAGUUCACAAGCAACCUUCUCCUCAAGAUUUAAGGACAAUACGGCAUGAUUUAGUUAAUCAUUGCCCAAUACCACAUUUGAAGACAUGUUAAAAAGCAUUGACAUGCUAAGUUGUUGAAACUUCCGUGAUUAGUAAGAAUCAGGAAGAGCCCUAUGAUUAAUGUAAAGAUCAGGGGGAGGUGCGAACUUCAGGGGGAGUCUAGCACAUACAUACAUGUCACUAUCAAAUGUGAAGGGUGCGUUGUACUCUUUUUCUCCUACGAUCAAGGUUCAGUUUUUCUCCCACAGGGUUUUUGUGACUUGACGAGGUUUUUGACGAGGCAACAGAUCAG